UCAGAACUCAAAUGAAUUGACGGGGACCCGCACAAGCGGUGGAUGAUGUGGAUUAAUUCGAUGCAACGCGAAAAACCUUACCUACCCUUGACAUGGUCGGAAUCCCGCUGAGAGGUGGGAGUGCUCGAAAGAGAACCGGCGCACAGGUGCUGCAUGGCUGUCGUCAGCUCGUGUCGUGAGAUGUUGGGUUAAGUCCCGCAACGAGCGCAACCCUUGUCCUUAGUUGCUACGCAAGAGCACUCUAAGGAGACUGCCGGUGACAAACCGGAGGAAGGUGGGGAUGACGUCAAGUCCUCAUGGCCCUUAUGGGUAGGGCUUCACACGUCAUACAAUGGUCGGAACAGAGGGUUGCCAACCCGCGAGGGGGAGCUAAUCCCAGAAAACCGAUCGUAGUCCGGAUUGCACUCUGCAACUCGAGUGCAUGAAGCUGGAAUCGCUAGUAAUCGUCGGAUCACGCAUGACCGACGGUGAAUACGUUCCCGGGUCUU
rnacentral:rRNA from 1 species